rnacentral:rRNA from 1 species
GAUGAACGCUGGCGGCGUGCCUAAUACAUGCAAGUCGAGCGAACAGACGAGGAGCUUGCUCCUCGGACGUUAGCGGCGGACGGGUGUGUCACACGUGGAUAACCUCUCUAUAAGACUGGGAACACUUCGGGAAACCGGAGCUAAUCCCGGAUAAUCAAUUGAACCGUAUUGACUAAUAGUGAAAGACGGUUUUUCUGUUACUAAUAGAUGGAUCCUUGCGUCAUUUGCUAGUUGGGAAGGUAACGGCUUACCACGGCGACGAUUCGUAGCCGACCGGGGGGGGUGAUCGCCAACACUGGAAUUGAACCACGGCCCAGACCCCUAGGGGAGGCAGCAGUAGGGAAUCUUCGGAAAGGGGGGAAAGCCUACCGGAGCAACGCGGGGUGAGUGAUGAAGGUCUUCGGAUCGAAAAACUCUGUUAUUAGGGAAGAAGAGUGGUGUAAGUAAAUAUGCACGCCUUGACGGUACCUUAUCAGAAAGCCACGGCUAACUACGUG